CGUAAAGGGCUCGCAGGCGGUUUCUUUAAGUCUGAUGUGAAACCCCCCGGCUCACCGGGGAGGGGUCAUUGGAAACUUGGGAAACUUGAGUGCAGAAGAGGAGAGUGGAAAUUCCACGUGUAGCGGUGAAAUGCGUAGAGAUGUGGAGGAACACCAGUGGGGAAGGCGACUCUCUGGUCUGUAACUGACGCUGAGGAGCGAAAGCGUGGGGAGCGAACAGGAUUAGAUACCCUGGUAGUCCACGCCCGUAAACGAUGAGUGCUAAGUGUUAGGGGGUUUCCGCCCCUUAGUGCUGCAGCUAACGCAUUAAGCACUCCGCCUGGGGAGUACGGUCGCAAGACUGAAACUCAAAGGAAUUGACGGGGGCCCGCACAAGCGGUGGAGCAUGUGGUUUAAUUCGAAGCAACGCGAAGAACCUUACCAGGUCUUGACAUCCUCUGACAACCCUAGAGAUAGGGCUUUCCCUUCGGGGACAGAGUGACAGGUGGUGCAUGGUUGUCGUCAGCUCGUGUCGUGAGAUGUUGGGUUAAGUCCCGCAACGAGCGCAACCCGUGAUCUUAGUUGCCAGCAUUUAGUUGGGCACUCUAAGGUGACUGCCGGUGACAAACCGGAGGAAGGUGGGGAUGACGUCAAAUCAUCAUGCCCCUUAUGACCUGGGCUACACACGUGCUACAAUGGACAGAACAAAGGGCUGCAAGACCGCAAGGUUUAGCCAAUCCCAUAAAUCUGUUCUCAGUUCGGAUCGCAGUCUGCAACUCGACUGCGUGAAGCUGGAAUCGCUAGUAAUCGCGGAUCAGCAUGCCGCGGUGAAUACGUUCCCGGGCCUUGUACACACCGCCCGUAACACCACGAGAGUUUGCAACACCUGAAGUCGGUGAGGUAACCUUUUAUGUAGCCAGCCCCCCCGAAGGGGUGGGAAUGGUGUGCAAM
rnacentral:rRNA from 1 species